CGCCCGGGCUUCGGCCUGGUUAUUCAUAACCCUUUGUUGUCCGACUCUGUUGCCUCCGGGGCGACCCUGCCUUCGGGCGGGGGCUCCGGGUGGACACUUCAAACUCUUGCGUAACUUUGCAGUCUGAGUAAACUUAAUUAAUAAAUUAAAACUUUUAACAACGGAUCUCUUGGUUCUGGCAUCGAUGAAGAACGCAGCGAAAUGCGAUAAGUAAUGUGAAUUGCAGAAUUCAGUGAAUCAUCGAAUCUUUGAACGCACAUUGCGCCCCCUGGUAUUCCGGGGGGCAUGCCUGUUCGAGCGUCAUUUCACCACUCAAGCCUCGCUUGGUAUUGGGCAACGCGGUCCGCCGCGUGCCUCAAAUCGUCCGGCUGGGUCUUCUGUCCCCUAAGCGUUGUGGAAACUAUUCGCUAAAGGGUGUUCGGGAGGCUACGCCGUAAAACAACCCCAUUUCUAAGGUUGACCUCGGAUCAGGUAGGGAUACCCGCUGAACUUAAGCAUAUCAA
rnacentral:rRNA from 1 species